rnacentral:rRNA from 1 species
AAUAGAUACCCCGGUACGUCCACGCUGUAAACGAUGUCAACUAGCUGUUGGUUAUAUGAAAUAAUUAGUGGCGCAGCAAACGCGAUAAGUUGACCGGCCUGGGGAGUACGGUCGCAAGAUUAAAACUCAAAGGAAUUGACGGGGGCCCGCACAAGCGGUGGAGCAUGUGGUUUAAUUCGAUGCAACGCGAAGAACCUUACCUACCCUUGACAUACAGUGAAGCUUGUAGAGAUACGAGCGUGCCUUCGGGAGCACUGAUACAGGUGCUGCAUGGCUGUCGUCAGCUCGUGUCGCGAGAUGUUGGGUUAAGUCCCGUAACGAGCGCAACCCUUAUUCUUAGUUGCCAACGCGUAGAGGCGGGGAACUCUAAGGAGACUGCCGGUGACAAACCGGAGGAAGGCGAGGACGACGUCAAGUCAUCAUGGCCCUUACGGGUAGGGCUACACACGUGCUACAAUGGCGGAUACAGAGGGCAGCGAAGGGGCGACCUGGAGCGAAUCUUAUAAAGUCUGUCGUAGUCCGGAUUGGAGUCUG